rnacentral:lncRNA from 1 species
GAUGAUUUAAUCUUCUGUGUAUAAGCUAAACUCUAUACACUAAAUUAUCUACUAUAUAAGCAAAGGACACAGACUGUUAUAUGAUCUAUUUAAAAUUUUAUUAAAACUGAAUAAAUAAUUAUUUCAUAAUAAAUACUAUAUCAACCAAACCCAUGGUUAAUAGUAUAUUAUCCCAACAAUCUCCCACUUAGACUUUUAACCAUAAUAAUUAUUAGAAUAUACUAUAUCCAAAUGCAUGGUUAAUAGUAUAUGUCCCAACAAUUAUCUCCCACUUAGACUCAUAACCAUGCAUCUACAACUUUAUCAGGCAUUCUUUUACAUGACUAUUAAAAGUCUUCACCAAAUAAGGUUUUGUUAAAGAAUCUUGCCAAGUUAUAUCUGAUGCAGUAUUUGUCCAGUAGUGCUUUGUCGUAACUAUCUAGUUUGGUAUUAAACUCUUCAGGGGUCCUGUUACCGAAACUAUCCCAAGAAUGUACACUGAACUAUGAUUUUAUUUAGCUUUCCCCCGCUACGACGAAGUACUACUAAUAUUACCUUCAUUACCUCACUACAUUAAAAUAUUAGUAAUUUAUUACUGUAGUGUUCAAUGUUCAAACAUCACUCCCACUCGAUAAAGGCAUACCAUGUAUAUUAACGUUCUCCCACUAUUUAAAUGCAAUGGAACGUCAAUUCUGACGUGUGGGUUUUGAUG